CGUAUUGGAAAACUAUAAAUGGAAUAACACUAUCCUCCUGGUUUGCAACUCUUUCAAUUAGUCAUCCGAAAUACAGAAAAGAGCUUUUAAGAUAGUUGCCGGAAUAUAAAGACUUUUUGUCUUUCGAAGGACUGAGACCAUAAAUUACAAGCAUAGCAUCAUUAACGAUGAUUGAAAGGAAAACUACUGCAAUCCCUGCGGUUUUUCCUCUUAGAAAAUACGUUCUGGACGUGACCAAGGGUGGUCUUCCGAAUCAGUCGGAAUCCCCACACAUCUAUUGUAUAAUACAAGAUGCACUCCUUCGAAAUCUCUCGCUGCUGCUGCAGCAAUAAGUGUGGCUGCAUACAUUGGCCAUUAGCUCCAGCUGCAUGUAGAGCAUGUUAAACAUUUUUAUUUGUAUUUGUAGGAGCAUCUGACAUCGCACUUGCAUGCAUAUGUAAUUAGAAAAUACAAAACAUGACGAGGGACUUGAAAUUGAAGGUAAUCAAGAGUACACAACGUUGGAAACUGAGAACAUGAAGCUAAAGCAUCGAUUAGCAAUUCUGAAUGAGAAACCAACCAACUGCCAAAUUCCGGCGAAAUGUCAUCU